rnacentral:tRNA from 1 species
UCCGCGGUAGCUCAGCGGUAGAGCGGUCGACUGUUAAUCGAUUGGUCGCAGGUUCGAAUCCUGCCCGCGGAGCAA